GAUGAACGCUGGCGGCGUGCCUAAUACAUGCAAGUCGAGCGAAUGGAUUAAGAGCUUGCUCUUAUGAAGUUAGCGGCGGACGGGUGAGUAACACGUGGGUAACCUGCACAUAAGACUGGGAUAACUCCGGGAAACCGGGGCUAAUACCGGAUAAUAUUUUGAACUGCAUGGUUCAAAAUUGAGAGGCGGCUUCGGCUGUCACUUAUGGAUGGACCCGCGUCGCAUUAGCUAGUUGGUGAGGUAACGGCUCACCAAGGCAACGAUGCGUAGCCGACCUGAGAGGGUGAUCGGCCACACUGGGACUGAGACACGGCCCAGACUCCUACGGGAGGCAGCAGUAGGGAAUCUUCCGCAAUGGACGAAAGUCUGACGGAGCAACGCCGCGUGAGUGAUGAAGGCUUUCGGGUCGUAAAACUCUGUUGUUAGGGAAGAACAAGUGCUAGUUGAAUAAGCUGGCACCUUGACGGUACCUAACCAGAAAGCCACGGCUAACUACGUGCCAGCCGCCGCGGUAA
rnacentral:rRNA from 1 species